rnacentral:rRNA from 1 species
CCCUUAGAUGUUCUGGGCUGCACGCGCGCUACACUGACGAAGUCAGCGAGCAUGUCCUACGCCGACAGGUGCGGGGAAUCUUGUCAAACUUCGUCGUGAUGGGGAUUGAUUAUUGAAAUUCUUGAUCAUCAACGAGGAAUUCCUAGUAAGCGCAAGUCAGCAGCUUGCGUUGAUUACGUCCCUGCCCUUUGUACACACCGCCCGUCGCUGCUACCGAUUGAAUGGUUUAGUGAGAUCUUCGGAUUGGCGCCACUGCGGCUCAGCAAUGGGCUCGGUGGAUGCCGAAAAGUUGAUCAAACUUGAUCAUUUAGAGGAAGUAAAAGUCGUAACA